rnacentral:rRNA from 1 species
UACGUAGGGACCAAGCGUUGUUCGGAUUUACUGGGCGUAAAGGGCGCGUAGGCGGCAAUUCAAGUCAUCUGUGAAAUCUCCGGGCUUAACUCGGAACGGUCAGAUGAUACUGCUUUGCUAGAGUGCGGAAGGGGCAAUCGGAAUUCUCGGUGUAGCGGUGAAAUGCGUAGAUAUCGAGAGGAACACCAGUGGCGAAGGCGAGUCUCUGGACGACUCCUGACACUGAGGCACGAAAGCUAGGGGAGCAAACAGG